CUCGGGCAGGGCCAGGCCGCAGCAGCGGAGGGGGCGCGGAGAAGCGCAGGCCCUGCCCGGCCCAGGCAGCUAGCGCCGGGGGAACAACGCGACGCGAAGCUGGACGGCCCAGAGGAAGCCGCCCGUGGCCAGACCGGGCCUGCAGGCCGAGACGCGGUGCCGCAGCGUCUCCCCGUCACGUCUGGGCACGCACCUCCUGGCGCCAGGGGCGCUCCGUCCCGCCCUCCGCAAAGGAUUCGCUUUGGAACGGGUUUUGGGGUGUGCCUGCUUCCUCCUCUCGGUCAGGAGAGGCUCAGUAACUGACAAGGGAUGAAAAAAACCUAUUGGGACUUACCCGGUGGCGCAGUGGUUAAGAAUCCGCCUGCCAAUGCA